rnacentral:tRNA from 2 species
GCGGUUUGUGGUAGGGAUAUUAGAAAACAGAAGCUUCCCAAGCUUCCGUCGCGAGUUCGAUUCUCGUCACCCGCU